CCAAUAGCGUAUAUUAAAGUUGCUGCAGUUAAAAAGCUCGUAGUUGAAUUUCGGGAUCAAUUUGUCGGUCGUGCCUGGGUGGGUACUGGCUUGUUGGUUUCUCCUUUCUGACGAACCAUGAUGUCAUUUAUUUGGUGUUGUGGGGAAUCAGGACUGUUACUUUGCAAAAAUUAGAGUGUUUAAAGCAGGCUCACGCUUGAAUACAUUAGCAUGGAAUAAUGAAAUAGGACGUUUGAUUCUAUUUUGUUGGUUUCUAGGAUCGACGUAAUGAUUAAUAGGGAUAGUUGGGGGCAUUAGUAUUCAAUUGUCAGAGGUGAAAUUCUUGGACUUAUUGAAGACUAACUACUGCGAAAGCAUUUGCCAAGGAUGUUUUCAUUAAUCAAGAACGAAAGUUAGGGGAUCGAAGACGAUCAGAUACCGUCGUAGUCUUAACCAUAAACUAUGCCGACUAGGGAUCGGAUGAUGUUAAUUUUUUAAUGACUCAUUCGGCGCCUUACG
rnacentral:rRNA from 1 species